UCCCGGUCCCCCCGCCUCGGCUCCCCCGUCAUUCCCGCUCCUGAUUCCCGCUCGGUUCCCCCCCUCCAGGUGCACCAGGCCGAGCUCUCCUCCAGCCAGGACGUGCUGCCCAAGAGGAGGAAGCUCAGCGAGCCCAAGGAGCGCUUUUAGCUGCCCGACCCCUCGGAAUUCUGCUCCCCUCCCCUCCCACCGCUCGUUCCUGUUGGAUUCCCAGAUCCGUUUCUCUCCCCCGGCAGUUCCCAGCGUGUUUUUAGGGAAGGAAAGGCCAGGAAGCCCAGCUGGAGAAUUCAGGGCCCGGCAGGUGGGACCGGAAAAACCCCCAGAAGGGAUUUUGGGGUCGGCUCCAGGCGUGCCCAGGUCCUGAUGGUGGUGGAGCAAAGCUCAUUCCCACGGAGCCUUUGGAACUUUUCCUGCCCCCAGACCUGCCCAGUCCUGGAGGUGAUUCCCGGAGCUUUCUGGCUCUUCCCGUGUUUGCUUUUUCCUGCCGGGACACUUGGAGGGUUUGAUGAGUUGUUUGUGUUUUCUUCCAGACCGAAGGCACCACACUCGGUGGAAAACCAGCCUUCUCCAUGAGUUUAAUUCCAAAUUCCCGGCCAGAAACCCAGGAAUUUCUGCUGCCUUUAACUCCAGAUUCCCUGCUGGAAAAUGCAGGAAUUUCUACUGCCUUUAAUUCCAAAUUCCAUACCAGAAUGCAGGAAUUUCUGCUGCCUUUAACUCCAGAUUCCCCUGCCAGAAAAUGCAGGAAUUUCUGCUGAAUUUCUGCUGCCUUUAACUCCAGAUUCCUUGCCAGAAUGCAGGGAUUUCUGCUGCCUUGUAUCCAUGUGCAAUUCCAAAGUGCAGCGUCUCUCCAGCGCUUGAGUUUUGGGAGAACCCGGAGGUGCUUAAGCGGUUAAUUAAUUACUGGAAGGACUUACACGGUUAAUUGCAGGAGUUGGAGGCGGUGCCAGUUCCCUUUCCAAGGAAAAGGCGCUGAUUUCCCGGGAAUGGGAGGGAAUGGGAGUGAAGCCUUUCUCCCGGCGCAGGCGGGGAGAGCUGGAGGUUUCCUGCGCUUGGAAUUUAAAUCGGGAAUGUCCGUUUGUCGUUCCGUCAUUAAACAGCGCUCAGCGGUG